GGAACGGCUUGCCACGUGACGGAGCGGCGCGGGGGACUCGGGGGCCGGCCGAGUGCGAUAUAAAACUGUAAACGAGCGGCAAGAGAAGAUAUUGGAUCUCUGGAAAAUGAUGCUGGAGAAGUAGUAAUGGGGGACAAGGACAUGGUGGACGAAAGGAAAAACCAGGUAUGACUUGCAGAGGCCUAUCUCAAGAGUGAAGAGACAAUUCAGAGCGAGGUUGGAGGUGACAUCGUACGCACAUCAACUCUGGCAGGGUUUACAGGCUACUACUUCCUACAAAGUGAAACCCACCAUCAUGAAUGGCAGUGAUGCUUCACCCUUUGACAAGCACAACACCAUUUAUGUACACUUUCAAAGGGAGAAUAAAACUACAGCUAGGAGGAUCCCUGUAGUAUCUGGUGACCCUGUGAUCUCUGUCUCAGAGGCCAACAUCAAGCUGUCUUUCAGGAGGGUAAACCCUCACAAGGUGGCAGGUCCUGAUGGAGUACUUGAUAAGGCUCUGAAAAUUUGUGCCGACCAGUUGGCACGAGUGUUCAAAGACAUUUUCAAAGACACUUGGAAGUUCCUAUGUGCUUCAAAAGAACAACAAUUACACCAGUGCCCAAGAAGAAUAGUGUGAGCUGCCUUAAUGACUAUCAUCCUGAAACACUCAUGUCUAUGGUGAUGAAGUGCUUUGAGAGGUUGGUCAUGGCUAGAAUCAGCUCCUGCCUCUGCAAGGACCUGGACCCAUUGCAGUUUGCCUAUCACAAUAGAUCUACGGCAGAUGCGAUCUUAUUUGCUCUUCAUGCAGACUUGGAUCUGCUGGACAAUACCAAUGUGAGGAUUCUGUUUAUUGACUAUAACUCAGAAUUUAACACUAUCGUUCCUACAGUCCUGAUUGAAAAUCUACAAAACUUGGGCCUCUGUCCCACCCUCUGCGCUGGAUCCUCAAUUUCUAACUGGAAGAUCACAAACUGUAUGGUCUGGUAAUAUCUCCUGCUUGCUGAUGAACAAUGCUGGUGUACCUCAGGGAUGUGUGCUUAGCCCACUGAUCUAUUCUGUCUAUCCCCAUGAAUGUGUGGCUAGGCAUAGCUCAAAUGCCGUAUAUAAAUUUGCUGACGAUACAACUAUCGCUGGCAGAAUCUCAGAUGGUGACAUGAGGGCAUACAAGAGUGAAAUAUACCAGCUGGUUGAGCGGUGUCACAGCAACAACCUUGCACUCAACAUCAGCAAAUCCAAAGAAUGGAUAUUAGAUUUCAGAAACGGUAAGAUGAAGGAACACAAACCAAUUGUUUUAGAGUGAUCAGAAGUGGAAAGAGUGAGUAAUUUCAAGUUCCUGGAUAUUAAUAUCUCUGAGGACCUAAUCUGGCCCCAACAUAUUGACGCAGCUAUAAAGGAGGCAAGACAAUGGCUAUAUUUCAUUAAGAGUUUGUUUGACACUUGGAAUGUCACCCUGAGACACUCAAAAAUUUCUACAAAUGUACCAUGGAGAGCAUUCUGACUGGCUGCAUCACUGUCUACUAUGGAGCAGUGGGGAGGGAUAGACCCCUCUGCACAGGAGUAAGCUGCAGAGAAUUGUAAAAAUUGGUCAGCUCCAUCAUGGGCACUAGCCUCCAUAGUAUCUAAGACAUCUUCAAAAAUACAGUCUCCAUCAUUAAGGAUCCCCACCACCCAGGACAUGCCCUCUUCACGUUGCUACCAUCAGGAAGGAGGUACAGAAGCCUGAAGGCACCCACUCAGCAAUUCAAAAACAGCUUCCUUCCCUUUGCCAUCUGAAUUCUGAAUGAACAUUGAACCCAUGAACAAUACCUUGCUACUUUUAAAUUUCAUUUUUGGCACUGCAUAACUAUUUGAUAUACUACAUGUAAUUCACUGUUUUUUUCCGUGUUAUCAUUUAUUGCAUUCUACUACUGCCACAAAGUUAACAAGUUUCGACUCGUGCUGAUGAUAGUAACCUGAUUCUGAUUCUGUCAAUUUAGUAGUGGUGGGUUAAAAUAGAGGACAAGCCACAAGAGGGCAGUGUCUGAGAGCUAAGGAAUAGUUAAUGAUAUGAGGCCACAGAAGAACUUGAAGAAGGCGUGGAUUUUGAUUUUGUAUUUAUUGUGUUUGUCAAAACUAUAGAUCAGCCUGUAUCAGGUUAAAGAGAGAACAGAUCUUCUUGUGGAGCAGGAUACUGACAGUUGCAUUUUGAAUGUAUUGGCAUUUUAAAAGAAUUGAGUGUGAUGUGUAUUUAAUAUUUCAAUAAUAUUUGAGUAAUCUUGUACAUAUAUAUUGGUUGGUGAAACAUUCUUGUUUAUUUAAAUAAUUCAUUAUGGGUUAACUAUGAAAUUAUAUUGAUUGCAUGUGUUAUCACAGUACCAUAUGAUAUAUACAUGCGCUGGCAUGUACAUGUAAAACUUGUAGUUAGAAUCACAUUUUGGUCUCCCGUGUCCUCCUUUGAACAGUUUAAUGUUUUGAAGUUACAGGGGGCAUUUGAAAAGACAGAUAUUGAAACUAGAUAAGGACAUAGGCAGUGAUAGAGUAGGAGAAUGAUAAAGUAGGUUAGUUUUAUUACAACUAACCUGAGACUUGAAACUUAGCUGCAGACUGAACUUGAGCUGGUAUAGGGGAAGAAAUUUAUGUCUGUAAUGAAAGCACUGACAUAUAUUUGAGCAACUAGCUUCAGAAUUGAACAACAGUAAGAUACUGAAAAUAUAUUAAGUGGAUGAUAACUCAGCUGGACAGCAAGCAAAUGGAAAAAGGAAUUACAAUAAUGCUGCUUUAAAAACAUAUAAAUACUUCAAAUUUUUGUGAAGAUGGACUGGUUAUCGUUUUUACCAUAAUUACUUUAUACGAACAAUAAUAUUUUUGGUAAAUAAUAUCAGAGCUCAAUUUAAUUUAUGCCACCACAUUUUGUGUUUAGUCAAAAAAGCCACAAAAAUAUGUAAUGUCCUUUAUGGAAGAUUUGAGCAUGAUGGACUAUUCAAAAGUAUUUCUUCUCUUCAGAAGCCCUUGAGAAGAUAUCCUAAGCAAAAAUUGCUGUAUUAAAUUAUGAUUGAUUUAACAGAUUACUUUGUUUUGAGCAUCUUAGAACUUAGGUUUUGCUCUUCCAUAAAGAAUCUUUUGUGCACUGGUAUAUACCAAUCUUAAGAUUUUCUGGAUAAUAAUCUUAUCAAUAGUGUGGAGAUUAUGCUUUUGAAUUCAUAUUUGAUAGAGUAAAAUUUACUUUCAGCAGAUGUGUAAAAUUGGAAAACUGAAUUUAUUGUAGUUUGUGGAAAGUCUCAGAGAAUGUUGGGUCAUAUAGUGACCAGAAUAAGGCUGUCGAUAAGGUACCACAAUUACAAUUCACAUAUGCCCCACUCUUAUUUGAAGUUAGAUAUGAAAGCAUUUCCAAGUACUCUGUAAUACUGAACUCUUGUAUAAAGAAAUCUAAGCUAACGUGUUAUUUGCUUGCAUUUAUGUCUGCAUGACUUUUUUUCUACACAUUGAGAGUCUGAUGAUUUUUUUAAAUAGGUUUCUUUGUG